GUGACUGAUUCACAUCAAAGCCAUCCGAUCAUGCAAAAUAGCCUCCAAUCACGUCUGAUCAAGCUCGGAUUCAUCCUCAACAGUUCGAUCGUGAUCGACUAUGAUCUGAACCGUCAGAUCACGUAAAAAAUCAUCUGAACCAUGCGUGGACUGCAUAUUCGGUCCAUGCGGCCCCCAUGGACCACCAAUGUCCUACGGUCCAUGGAGGACCGCACAGGGACGCUGGGCCUGGGCACCUUGCACGCACGUUGGGCCGACCCGUGCAUGCCUACGU
rnacentral:lncRNA from 1 species